ensembl:lncRNA
UUGGGUGGGAUUUGGGUGUUUUUGGGUGGGAUUUGGGUGUUUUUGGGUGGGAUUUGGGGUGAUUUUGUUCGGGAUUAAUUUUUGGGUGGGAUUUGGGGUGAUUUUGGGUCCAAUCUGGGCGGUUUUGGCGCAGAGCCGCAGCUGCGGGGCGCCGUGGCGCGGCUCCGGGGCGGCCACGGCCACUUCCUGCAGAUGGGCCCCGACGGGCGCCUGGACGGGACCUGCGAGGAGCCCGGCCCCGGCAGUGAGUGCAGACUGGUUUUACUGGUUUAUACUGGGUUAUACUGGUUUUACUGGUUUAUACUGGUUAUACUGGGUUAUACUGGUUAUACUGGGUUAUAUUGAUUUAUACUGGGUUAUACUGGUUUGUAAUGGUUUAUACUGGGCUAUACUGGUUUAUACUGGGCUAUACUGGGCUAUACUGGGUUAUACUGGGUUAUACUGGGCUAUACUGGGUUGUACUGGUUUAUACUGGGUUAUACUGGGUUAUACUGGGUUAUACUGGGUUGUACUGGGUUAUACUGGGCUAUACUGGGUUAUACUGGGUUAUACUGGGUUAUACUGGGUUAUACUGGUUUGGACUGGGUUAUACUGGUUUUACUGGUUUAUACUGGGCUAUACUGGUUUGGACUGGGUUAUACUGGGUUACACUGGGUUAUACUGGUUUAUACUGGGUUAUACUGGUUUGGCUGGUUUGUAAUGGUUUAUACUGGGUUAUAGUGGGUUAUACUGGGUUGUACUGGGUUAUACUAGUUUUACUAGGCUAUACUGGUUUAUACUGGUUUAUACUGGUUUUUCCUGGUUUUUUUCCAGUUUUUUUUCCUGUUUUUUCCUGUUUUUGACUGGUUUGUACUGGUUUAUACUGGUUUGUACUGGUUUAUACUGGUUUUUACUGGCUUUUUCCCCCUCCCAGCGCUGUUUAACCUGAUCCCGGUCGGGCUCCGCGUCGUGGCCGUUGGGGGUUACUGGUUUAUACUGGUUUAUACUGGUUUAUACUGGUUUAUACUGGUUUCUAUAGUUUUUCCCUGAUUUUUCUUGGUUUUUUUCCGGUUUUUUUCCUGUUUUUUCCUGGUUUAUACUGGUUUGUACUGGUUUGUACUGGUUUAUACUGGUUUAUACUGGUUUUUACUGGUUUUUUCUCCCCCUUCCAGCGCUGUUUAACCUGAUCCCGGUCGGGCUCCGCGUCGUGGCCAUCCAGGGCACCCGAGCCGGCCGUUACGUGGCCAUGAACGGCGCCGGCGUCGUCUACACCUCUGUGAGUCACCCAAAAUCCCCAAAAUCCGCCCCAAAAUCCACCCCAAAAUCCCCAAAAUCCGCCCCAAAAUCCCCCAAAUCCACCACAAAAUCAAACCCAAAAUCCGCCCCAAAAAUCGGCUCCAAAAUCCCAAAAUCUGCCCCAAAAUCUGCCCCAAAAAACACCCCAAAAUACCAAAAUCCGCCCCAAAAUCCGCCCCAAAAUCCCCCAAAUCCAACCCAAAAUCCAACCCAAAAUCCGCCCCAAAAAUCGGCUCCAAAAUCCCCAAAAUCCGCCCCAAAAAUCGGCUCCAAAAUCCCCAAAAUCCGCCC